rnacentral:lncRNA from 1 species
AUUUAGUAAUGAUAUUGCUCAUAGAAAUUGAUAAUGUGAAGAAUAACAAUACAGGAACAUAGAAUAACAAGAAAGAAAUUCUAGCAACAAGUUAGGUUAUGAGAUAAAUUUUAUUUAUAUAGUUUGUUUAAAGAGUUUAGUUUGAAAAAAAGGUAAAACAAUUAUUAUUGUCCAGGUCAUAUUUGAUAACUGUUGUUAAUUGAUAACAUAUUACAGGGACACAGUAAAAAGACAAAACAUUUAGAAAGAGAAAUGUUUGCAAUGGAUAUUAAUAAAUUCUAGCCAAUUUGUACGAUGUACAAUGCAGGCAAUAUUUCUGCCUCCUAACGCACUAUUCGCGUAAAAGAAGAUGUGGGUAUUGUAUUUAUAGAACAGAUUUAUUAUUAGUUGGCUAGUGUGUUAGUAGGAUAGCCAUUGGUAGUUAUAAAGUAUGAAGUCGUCAGGUAUUAAUAAUAGGAAUUGAU